rnacentral:rRNA from 1 species
ACUUGACUAGCUGAGAGGAGGUGCAUGGCCGUCGUCAGUUCGUACUGUGAAGCAUCCUCGUUAAGUCAGGCAACGAGCGAGACCCACGCCAACAGUUGCCAGCUCGUCCUCCGGGAUGGUGGGGACACUGUUGGGACCGCCUCUGCUAAAGAGGAGGAAGGAAUGGGCAACGGUAGGUCAGCAUGCCCCGAAUUAUCUGGGCUACACGCGGGCUACAAUGGGUGGGACAAUGGGUAUCGACACCGAAAGGUGAAGGCAAUCUCCUAAACCCAUCCGUAGUUCGGAUUGUGGGCUGCAACUCGCCCACAUGAAGCUGGAAUCUGUAGUAAUCGUGUCUCAAAAUGGCACGGUGAAUAUGUCCCUGCUCCUU